GUCUGUCCGGGCCCACAGGGAGCCGGGACCGAGCCGUGGCUGGCAGUGACUCCUCAGAUUUGGGGGUCCUGGACCACCCCCCUGCCCAUGACACCACCCCGAUAAUAGAAGCCCCCCAGGGGGAGAGGAAGGGACCAGAGACCCCCCCGGCCGCGGACGACACAGAAACCGCCUUCUGCGAGCCGGACCCCCCCCAGCCGCAGCCCGAUUCCCCCCCAGCUGCCGGCGGCUCCGGGGACCCCGACACCGACUGAGGGUCCCGGGGGGGUCCCGGUGGCUUCCAGACCCCCCCGGGGAAGGCGAGGCCGCCCCGAGGGGCACCGCGGGCGCGGGGGGACCACGGGCGUGGCGAGCGGCCUCGGCCCUUCCCAUGGAUGCUCCAAAUCCCGGGGGGAACGGGGACCCGCGUGGGACCGGGACCCGCCUGUGCUGUGCCCCCCGUGCCAGGACGGGGCUCGGGGUGGUGGCUCAGCCGAGCCAAUAAAGUGGGAUUUCACCCCAAAAUCCCUGGAAUUCCUCUGCCGGGACACUCAGGGCUCGGGGUGGUGGCACAGCCGAGCCAAUAAAGCGGGAUUUCACCCCAAAAUCCCUGGAAUUCCUCUGCCGGGACAC